rnacentral:misc_RNA from 2 species
CGACCCUCGAGCCUCCCUUCGUGGUGGUUCGGUGCUGGGACGCUACAGCGCGCUUGCUCGCGCUGUAGGUCCCGAAAUGCAGUGGCGGCCUCGCCGAGACCCCGAGCGCAGUAAACCGUGCCUUAGCACAGCGCCUCGUUCAGGGUGUCCGGCGGGUGCCCCGGCCGUUAAACCCCCCAACUUACAGAA